UCGCCUCUUGCAAAACAACAUAUAAGAGGUCCCGCCUGCCCUGUGAUAAUAAAUUUAACGGCCGCGGUAUUUUGACCGUGCGAAGGUAGCGAAAUCACUUGUCUUUUAAAUGAAGACCUGUAUGAAUGGCAUGACGAGGGCUUGACUGUCUCCUUUUUCAAGUCAAUGAAAUUGAUCUCCCCGUGCAGAAGCGGGGAUUAAAACAUAAGACGAGAAGACCCUAUGGAGCUUUAGACACCAGAGCAGACCAUGUUAAACACCCCCGAUAAGGGACUAAACCAAAUGGGACCUGCCCCAAUGUCUUUGGUUGGGGCGACCGCGGGGAAACAAAAAACCCCCACGUGGAAUGGGAGUACUACUCCUAAAACUAAGAGCUCCCGCUCUAGUAAACAGAAUUUCUGACCAACAAGAUCCGGCAACGCCGAUCAACGGACCGAGUUACCCUAGGGAUAACAGCGCAAUCCCCUUUUAGAGCCCAUAUCGACAAGGGGGUUUACGACCUCGAUGUUGGAUCAGGACAUCCUAAUGGUGCAGCCGCUAU
rnacentral:rRNA from 1 species